rnacentral:rRNA from 1 species
UACGGAGGGGGCUAGCGUUGUUCGGAAUUACUGGGCGUAAAGCGCACGUAGGCGGCUUUGCAAGUCAGAGGUGAAAGCCCGGGGGCUCAACCCCGGAAUUGCCUUUGAGACUGCAUCGCUAGAACGUCGGAGAGGUGAGUGGAAUUCCGAGUGUAGAGGUGAAAUUCGUAGAUAUUCGGAAGAACACCAGUGGCGAAGGCGACUCACUGGACGACUGUUGACGCUGAGGUGCGAAAGCGUGGGGAGCAAACAGG